GGACGAACGCUGGCGGCGUGCUUAACACAUGCAAGUCAAGGGGAAAGUCUCAGCUUGCUGAGAUGAGUAUACUGGCGGAUGGGUGAGUAACACGUAGGUAAUCUGCCCUUAGGACAGGCAUAACAUUGCUAACGCGAUGCUAUUACCUGAUGAAGCAACUGUUGAAUCAGAUGGUUGUUAAAGGCUGGCUUUCAGCUAGCGCCUGAGGAUGAGCCUGCGUCUCAUUAGCUAGUUGGUAGGGUAAUGGCCUACCAAGGCGACGAUGGGUAGCCGGCCUGAGAGGGUGAGCGGCCACACUGGGACUGAGAUACGGCCCAGACUCCUACGGGAGGCAGCAGUGAGGAAUAUUGCGCAAUGGCCGAAACGUUGACGCAGCGACCCGCGUGAGGGAUGAAGCUUUUAGGAGUGUAAACCUCUGUUAGGAGGGAAGAAUAAUGGCAAUUCGAACAGGGUUGUCAGAUGACGGUACCUCCAGAGGAAGCCCCGGCUAACUCCGUGCCAGCAGCCGCGGUAAUACGGGGGGGGCUAGCGUUGUCCGGAAUUACUGGGCGUAAAGGGCGCGUANGCGGGAUAGCAAGUCAGUGGUGCAAACUUGAGGCUUAACUUCAAGCUUGCCAUUGAUACUGUUAUUCUUGAGUUCGGCAGAGGGAAGUGGAAUUCCUGGUGUAGCGGUGAAAUGCGUACAUAUCAGGAAGAACACCGGUGGCGAAGGCGGCUUCCUGGUCCGAUACUGACGCUGAGGCGCGAAAGCGUGGGGAGCGAACAGGAUUAGAUACCCUGGUAGUCCACGCUGUAAACGAUGGGUACUAGGUGUUGGUUGUAAUGAUCAGCGCCGGAGCAUACGCAUUAAGUACCCCGCCUGGGGAAUACGGUCGCAAGACUGAAACUCAAAGGAAUUGACGGGGGCCCGCACAAAAGGUGGAGCAUGUGGUUUAAUUCGAUGCAACGCGAAGAACCUUACAUGGGCUUGAACUGCAGGUGCUAUCUCCUGAAAGGGAGUUUCCUUCGGGACGCCUGUAGAGGUGCUGCAUGGAUGUCGUCAGCUCGUGCUGUGAGGUGUUGGGUUAAGUCCCGCAACGA
rnacentral:rRNA from 1 species